UGGUCGGUUCGAGUAUGUGAUAUUUCGGAGCAGAAUGUAGUUCCUUCGAACGAACUAGAUUCUGUUCCGAAAUAUCACAUACUCGAAC